GAGACCCGCGUGCUCUGGACCAACCAGGCUGACCUGCUGGAGAUGCCAAUACCACCUGGUGCCCGCCUUCGUAGGCAGAGACCUCAGCCACAUCUCCACAUUCCUAGAUAUGGGGGCAUUCCCUCUACUUCGGAUGAGCUCGGCGGAGGCCUGGAGCAGCGGAACAUGGCCAUCUCCUCCAUCCUGGGCACAUGGCUGGACCAAUAUCGCCAGGAUUUUUUCCAGCCCCCAGACUUUCCCUGCCUGAACGUGCUGCUCAAGUACAUGGGCCUCCAUAUGCCAGGCUCGGACCUGGAACGCCGUGCCCAGCGUCUGCUGUCACAGCUGCAAAGCCUGGAGCCCCCGGAGCCAGAGGCUGGGGGUGAGGAGGGCCGGGGGUGCCUGGCGAGGGCCCGUGGAGGGGACCGGGCGGGCCACGCAGAGCAAGCCUCCAUAGAGUGCGGUUGGGCCGGGAGCAGUGCGUAGUCCCAGAUCCCUGUCCCCAUGGCCUGCCGUCCGGGGAGACCUCCCAGGGAUCGGAUCCUGGCCUCAGACAGCACUGAGCGGGGGGAAAAGUUUCCUUCACUUAGGAGGGACGUGGGA